rnacentral:ncRNA from 1 species
UAUUAAUAGACAGGGAGUUUGCAAAUUAGCAAUCUGAGAGGAAGUUGACAACUUCGACCUAGUACCUGAUUUGGAUAAUGCCAUCGUAGGGAAAUAAUUGACUUAUUUG